rnacentral:rRNA from 1 species
UACGGGGGGUGCGAGCGUUAAUCGGAAUUACUGGGCGUAAAGGGCACGCAGGCGGACUUUUAAGUGAGGUGUGAAAUCCUUGAGCUUAACUGUGGAAUUGCAAUUCAUACUGGGAGUCUAGAGUACUGUAGGGAGAGGGAGAAUUCCGCGUGUAGCGGUGAAAUGCGUAGAUAUGCGGAAGAACACCAAUGGCGAAGGCAGCCUCUUGGGAAUGUACUGACGCUGAUGGGCGAAAGCGUGGGGAGCAAACAGG